rnacentral:lncRNA from 1 species
GGUGUCUGAAAAUCCUCAGCCAUUUGUGACUGGAUGGGGAGGCUGCUGUCUGCUGUUACCGGAUUUCUUUGCUCCUGGUAGAAUGGAGGAAGCAGUUAUAACUUCUGUGGGGUCCGGCCUCUGCUCCAGAGCACUGUUUAGACUGGUCCUUGGGGCUGUGGGAAGUAGAACGCUGCCCCCCAAGGACCAGAGCUAUGGAGGAAAGCCGCCCCGAAAGCAGGAGGAUGUGGGGGAAGAUUACAUUCUUCUGGGGCCUGCAAGAGCCAAGAUGGUGGCUUGCAGAUGGGGCUGUAGGAUAAGGACAGGAAGCUUCUACAAGUUGAGUCCCUCUUGAGCACAGAGGGGCUAGUCCUCCUCCAGCCUCUGGUAUGAACCGAAAAGGGAAACCCCCUUCCUGGAAGGGGUGGGCUCCUGGCACAAGGGGCUUCUGGGUCCUUGUCUGGCUCAGAACUUUCGGGUGGAGCAAGAGUCUUCCCGAGAGGUGAACCGGAGCCUGCAGCCCUCCCAGGACUCUGACUGGUCGUCCUCCAAGGACCUGUGCUGUGUGUUAGGGUAGUUCGGUGUUGUCUGCACCCCACUAGUUCUGUCUGAACGCGUCCUUGAUGUUCACUGUCCAAUUCGGUAACAUUUCUUUUGGUCCCACCCCCUUCUGCUGCUGCUGGAUUUGAGCUUCAGUGCAGGUGGAAUGAUGUUCAAAUAAAGACACAAUUUAUAUCACC